GUGUUGUUGGGUAGGGGAGCGUUCUGUAAGCCUGUGAAGGUGGCCUGUGAGGGUUGCUGGAGGUAUCAGAAGUGCGAAUGCUGACAUAAGUAACGAUAAAGCGGGUGAAAAGCCCGCUCGCCGGAAGACCAAGGGUUCCUGUCCAACGUUAAUCGGGGCAGGGUGAGUCGACCCCUAAGGCGAGGCCGAAAGGCGUAGUCGAUGGGAAACGGGUUAAUAUUCCCGUACUUGGUGUUACUGCGAAGGGGGGACGGAGAAGGCUAUGUUGGCCGGGCGACGGUUGUCCCGGUUUAAGCGUGUAGGUGUGUGUUCCAGGUAAAUCCGGUUCACUUUAACACUGAGGCGUGACGACGAGGCACUACGGUGCUGAAGCAACAAAUGCCCUGCUUCCAGGAAAAGCCUCUAAGCAUCAGGUAACAUCAAAUCGUACCCCAAACCGACACAGGUGGUCAGGUAGAGAAUACCAAGGCGCUUGAGAGAACUCGGGUGAAGGAACUAGGCAAAAUGGUGCCGUAACUUCGGGAGAAGGCACGCUGACACGUAGGUGAAGUGAUUUACUCACGGAGCUGAAGUCAGUCGAAGAUACCAGCUGGCUGCAACUGUUUAUUAAAAACACAGCACUGUGCAAACACGAAAGUGGACGUAUACGGUGUGACGCCUGCCCGGUGCCGGAAGGUUAAUUGAUGGGGUCAGCGCAAGCGAAGCUCCUGAUCGAAGCCCCGGUAAACGGCGGCCGUAACUAUAACGGUCCUAAGGUAGCGAAAUUCCUUGUCGGGUAAGUUCCGACCUGCACGAAUGGCGUAAUGAUGGCCAGGCUGUCUCCACCCGAGACUCAGUGAAAUUGAACUCGCUGUGAAGAUGCAGUGUACCCGCGGCAAGACGGAAAGACCCCGUGAACCUUUACUAUAGCUUGACACUGAACAUUGAGCCUUGAUGUGUAGGAUAGGUGGGAGGCUUUGAAGCGUGGACGCCAGUCUGCGUGGAGCCGACCUUGAAAUACCACCCUUUAAUGUUUGAUGUUCUAACGUGGACCCGUGAUCCGGGUUGCGGACAGUGUCUGGUGGGUAGUUUGACUGGGGCGGUCUCCUCCUAAAGAGUAACGGAGGAGCACGAAGGUUGGCUAAUCCUGGUCGGACAUCAGGAGGUUAGUGCAAUGGCAUAAGCCAGCUUGACUGCGAGCGUGACGGCGCGAGCAGGUGCGAAAGCAGGUCAUAGUGAUCCGGUGGUUCUGAAUGGAAGGGCCAUCGCUCAACGGAUAAAAGGUACUCCGGGGAUAACAGGCUGAUACCGCCCAAGAGUUCAUAUCGACGGCGGUGUUUGGCACCUCGAUGUCGGCUCAUCACAUCCUGGGGCUGAAGUAGGUCCCAAGGGUAUGGCUGUUCGCCAUUUAAAGUGGUACGCGAGCUGGGUUUAGAACGUCGUGAGACAGUUCGGUCCCUAUCUGCCGUGGGCGCUGGAGAACUGAGGGGGGCUGCUCCUAGUACGAGAGGACCGGAGUGGACGCAUCACUGGUGUUCGGGUUGUCAUGCCAAUGGCACUGCCCGGUAGCUAAAUGCGGAAGAGAUAAGUGCUGAAAGCAUCUAAGCACGAAACUUGCCCCGAG
rnacentral:rRNA from 1 species